GUGAUCCUCCUGCCUCAGGCUCCAGAGUAUGGGGAUUAUAGGCACAUGCCACCCUGCCUAGCUAACUUAUUAGCUUAAUGAGAAUUUAAUUUGUAAUUUGAGAAGAUUUGUGGAUCAGAAAAUCGGCAGAAAUUUCACAAGAAAACAGCCAAAUCGUUAAGCACAGAUUCUUCACAGUGGAUUGCUGAGGAUGGGCCAUGAGCAGACAAGUGGGCAGCAAGGAUGCAGAGGCGGCAGAAGAGACUGGGGACACACGACACGGAAGACACGGAAGACACGGAAGACACGGAAGACACAGACGACCUGGACAUCUCAUCCACAGGACACAGACCAAGACAUCUCAUCCACACGGCACAGACAACCCAGACAUCUCAUCCACACGACACAGACAACCCAGACAUCUCAUCCACACGACACAGACAACUCAGACAUCUCAUCCACACGACACAGACAACUCAGACAUCUCAUCCACACGACACAGACAACUCAGACAUCUCAUCCACACGACACAGACGACACAGACAUCUCAUCCACACGACACAGACAGACCGGGACAUCUCAUCCACACGACACAGACCGGGACAUCUCAUCCACACGGCACAGACAACCCAGACAUCUCAUCCACACGGCACAGACUCACAUCUCAUUUCUCCAGACCCUCCUCCUUCACGACUCCUCGAACCAGCACCAGUUUUGCAUGCCAUUGUUUCCUUAUCUCAGUCUUUUCACGCCCAACCCAGGGCAAAAGGCUUUCCAUUCAGAAAUAAAGAACUGACGGUAUCAGUCACCUGACCCAGCAGGUGGAAGCCAGCAUUGCGGUCUUCCUCUCUUUCCUCCCCUCUAGCCCAAGUCCAGGGCGGAUGCGCCUUUCUAGGUUAGAUCUACUCUCUCC
rnacentral:lncRNA from 1 species